AUUGAACGCUGGCGGCAUGCUUUACACAUGCAAGUCGAACGGUAACAGGCCGCAAGGUGCUGACGAGUGGCGAACGGGUGAGUAAUGCACCGGAACGUGCCCGAUCGUGGGGGAUAACGGAGCGAAAGCUUUGCUAAUACCGCAUACGAUCUACGGAUGAAAGCAGGGGACCGCAAGGCCUUGCGCGGACGGAGCGGCCGAUGGCAGAUUAGGUAGUUGGUGGGAUAAAAGCUUACCAAGCCGACGAUCUGUAGCUGGUCUGAGAGGACGACCAGCCACACUGGGACUGAGACACGGCCCAGACUCCUACGGGAGGCAGCAGUGGGGAAUUUUGGACAAUGGGCGAAAGCCUGAUCCAGCCAUGCCGCGUGCAGGAUGAAGGCCUUCGGGUUGUAAACUGCUUUUGUACGGAACGAAAAGACUCUGGUUAAUACCUGGGGUCCAUGACGGUACCGUAAGAAUAAGCACCGGCUAACUACGUGCCAGCAGCCGCCGUAACAC
rnacentral:rRNA from 1 species